UGUGGCCUACGGGGCGCAGCAGUCGGGAAUAUUGCGCAAUGGAGGAAACUCUGACGCAGUGACGCCGCGUAUAGGAAGAAGGUUUUCGGAUUGUAAACUAUUGUCAUCAGGGAAGAUAAAAGACAGUACCUGAGGAGGAAGCUCCGGCUAACUAUGUGCCAGCAGCCGCGGUAAUACAUAGGGAGCAAGCGUUAUCCGGAUUUAUUGGGUGUAAAGGGUGCGUAGACGGAAAGGAAGUUAAGU
rnacentral:rRNA from 1 species